AAAACUCCAGGUUUAAUCCUAUGACAUCAUAUCAGAUGAAAAGCCCAAUCAAAAUCCUAUACUAAGAGAAGCCAAUGGCUUCCUUAUCAUGCAACACAGAAAAACUCCGUCUUUAGCCAAAGUACUAAGGCCAUGACAUGCUAGAACUAGUGGUGUAAGCAGUAGAUAAGGAGUAAAGCCAUGGCAGUCAUGAGAACCAAAAUAAUGGAGCCAAUGAAGCAGCAGCUGCACCAUCGAAGCACGAUGAGCAAUGAUGACUCACAUUGCCUGACGUCCCACUCGCGCCUUACUCUCGCAACUCUGACGAUCAGAAUUUUAGAGUUCACAUGACUCCGUAGGUUUGUGGUGUAUGCAUAUGUGGUGAUGCUAGUAUUGCAACUCCAUCUAGGGAUUGGACUGUGAGGUUUUGGUCGCUUGACCCAUCAGAAGAGCGCAAGUAUUGGUCGUCAAGAAUCUUGUUUGGACAUUCAAGUUUUGUAGGUCCAUUGACUUGGAUUCCACCAAAUGAAGAGUACCCAGAAGGUGGGAUUGGGUCUGGUGGCAUGGAAAUACUGGUUUCGUUUGGAACAGUUGCAAGUCAGUGGCAGUGCAUUGGAUAAUGGGCACAUUGUGUCAUCCUCUGUUGAUUGGCUAUUUCAUUUGGUUGGGACCACUGGUUAACUUGUUUGAAAAUUUUGACUAUUCUGCUGCUUUCACUUAAUAUGUGACCUAUCUUCCUCUUUGGCUUUCUUCAUUGGAGUACUUUGAGAUGAUGGAGGAAAAGCCAGGUAAUUGAGUCCUGGGAUUGGGAGGCUCAUAAGUCAGCUAUGCAGGCAGUUAUCUGGCCAGCGUGUUACAGG